rnacentral:snoRNA from 1 species
CAGGCCCUGAAUGAAGGCCACCGGUUUGCCGUAGCCGGUGGUUUCAAGCAGGAGCCCAGAGGAACCGUCUCCCGGUCUGUUGGCGCUCCCAGCCCGGUGGAACGGCCAAUUCGUGCGGGAGCGACAUCG